rnacentral:lncRNA from 1 species
AUGACAAAGGGAUGCCUCUGCCCACUAAGGGCAUUCUCAACAGAGGCAGGAGAGAAGCUGGGCAAAACAUCUCUGCAGGCUUCAAAAAGUAGAUUCAUUUUCUCAGCACACUGCCGACUGCCAACAGAUGAGCUGCAACUGCUGGCACCGGGGAGCCAGCGAGACAUCAGCAUGCAAGAAGUAUUGCCAAUUCUUUUAUCAUCACCAGUUUGUAGAAACAAGGAGCUGUCUUCCUUUAAAAGAAAACAGACAGACCACCCCAGUGUCAGCCCAGCCUUCAAAGGGGCCUUUUUGCUGGAGGAAACCAAGGACAGGUCCAGCCUGAGCCACCCCUACACUGCGGACAAGUCCCCAUUGCACUGGCUGUGUGACCUGCACCCAUCAGGAUGCUCUCAGGGCAGGACAGUGCCAUGCUAGGAUGCUGCUGCUUAGCAAUAAUGUGGUAGCUGCCAGCACCUCAAGGUGAGUUACCAGCAGGUGAAAGCCCACAGCUCACCUGCUCAGUAGCACCUGCCCCCAUAAAGCCCCACUGCAUUUGCUAUGGGCAAAGCAACUUUUUCUCC